UACGUAGGGUGCAAGCGUUAAUCGGAAUUACUGGGCGUAAAGCGUGCGCAGGCGGUUGUGCAAGACAGAUGUGAAAUCCCCGGGCUCAACCUGGGAAUUGCAUUUGUGACUGCACGGCUAGAGUGUGUCAGAGGGGGGGUAGAAUUCCACGUGUAGCAGUGAAAUGCGUAGAGAUGUGGAGGAACACCGAUGGCGAAGGCAGCCAUCUGGACCGACACUGACGCUGAGGCGCGAAAGCGUGGGGGAGCAAACAGG
rnacentral:rRNA from 1 species